rnacentral:rRNA from 1 species
GCAUAUCAAUAAGCGGAGGAAAAGAAACUAACAAGGAUUCCCCUAGUAACUGCGAGUGAAGCGGGAAAAGCUCAAAUUUAAAAUCUGGCGGUCUUUGGCCGUCCGAGUUGUAAUCUAGAGAAGCGUUACCCGCGCCGGACCGUGUAUAAGUCUCCUGGAAUGGAGCGUCAUAGAGGGUGAGAAUCCCGUCUUUGACACGGACUACCGGGGCAUUGUGGUGCGCUCUCAAAGAGUCGAGUUGUUUGGGAAUGCAGCUCAAAAUGGGUGGUAAAUUCCAUCUAAAGCUAAAUAUUGGCGAGAGACCGAUAGCGAACAAGUACCGUGAGGGAAAGAUGAAAAGAACUUUGGAAAGAGAGUUAAAAAGUACGUGAAAUUGCUGAAAGGGAAACGCUUGGAGUCAGUCGCGUUGGCCGGAAAUCAACCUUGCUUCUGCUUGGUGUACUUUCUGGUUGACGGGCCAGCAUCAGUUUUGACCGGUGGAAAAAGUUCAAGGGAAUGUGGCAUCUUUGGAUGUGUUAUAGCCCUUGUUCGUAUGCACCGAUUGGGACUGAGGAAUUCAGCACGCCGAAAGGCCGGGUCUUUGACCACGUUCGUGCUUAGGAUGCUGGCAUAAUGGCUUUAAUCGACCCGUCUUGAAACACGGACCAAGGAGUCUAACAUGCCUGCGAGUGUUUGGGUGGAAAACCCGAGCGCGUAAUGAAAGUGAAAGUUGGGAUCCUUGUCAUGGGGAGCACCGACGCCCGGACCAGAAGUAUUCUGACGGCUCCGCGGUAAAGCAUGUAUGUUGGGACCCGAAAGAUGGUGAACUAUGCCUGAAUAGGGUGAAGCCAGAGGAAACUACUGGUGGAGGCUCGUAGCGAUUCUGACGUGCAAAUCGAUCGUCCGAAUUUGGGUAUAGGGGGCGAAAGACUAAUCGAACCCAUCUAGUAGCUGGUUCCUGCCGAAGU